GACGAACGCUGGCGGCGUGCUUAACACAUGCAAGUCGAACGGUGACGGAGGAGCUUGCUCCUCCUGAUCAGUGGCGAACGGGUGAGUAACACGUGAGCAAUCUGCCCCUGACUCUGGGAUAACUGCGGGAAACUGUAGCUAAUACCGGAUACGACGCGCGAAGGCAUCUUCUGCGCGUGGAAAGAAUUUCGAUCAGGGAUGAGCUCGCGGCCUAUCAGCUUGUUGGUGAGGUAAUGGCUCACCAAGGCGACGACGGGUAGCCGGCCUGAGAGGGUGACCGGCCACACUGGGACUGAGACACGGCCCAGACUCCUACGGGAGGCAGCAGUGGGGAAUAUUGCACAAUGGGCGCAAGCCUGAUGCAGCAACGCCGCGUGAGGGACGACGGCCUUCGGGUUGUAAACCUCUUUUGGCAGGGAAAAAGCGAAAGUGACGGUACCUGCAGAAAAAGCACCGGCUAACUACGUG
rnacentral:rRNA from 1 species